GACGAAUGCUGGCGGCGUGCUUAACACAUGCAAGUCGAACGGAAAGGCCCUGCUUGCAGGGUACUCGAGUGGCGAACGGGUGAGUAACACGUGGGUGAUCUGCCCUGCACUUCGGGAUAAGCCUGGGAAACUGGGUCUAAUACCGGAUAGGAGCCAUUUUUAGUGUGAUGGUUGGAAAGUUUUUUCGGUGUAGGAUGAGCUCGCGGCCUAUCAGCUUGUUGGUGGGGUAAUGGCCUACCAAGGCGGCGACGGGUAGCCGGCCUGAGAGGGUGGACGGCCACAUUGGGACUGAGAUACGGCCCAGACUCCUACGGGAGGCAGCAGUGGGGAAUAUUGCACAAUGGGCGCAAGCCUGAUGCAGCGACGCCGCGUGGGGGAUGACGGCCUUCGGGUUGUAAACUCCUUUCCCUAGGGACGAAGCUUUUGUGACGGUACCUAGAUAAGAAGCACCGGCUAACUACGUG
rnacentral:rRNA from 1 species